CCAAUACUCAUGGAGAGAAGUGAAAUUAUAUCAAAGUUCUGAGUUGAUUAGUUCUGAGAAUAAGUUUCUCCAUCUGCAAACCCGAGUAUCUAAACUUGCAUCAAAUCCUAGGAGGAACACAAUGAAGAAAAUAAAUAUAAGUUUAUUACUGCUCUGUGUCCUAUCCAGUAUAGUGGUAACAUGAUAUCUACUAUU